UACGUAGGUGGCAAGCGUUGUCCGGAUUUACUGGGCGUAAAGAGCGCGCAGGCGGUCGGAUAAGUCGAAUGUGAAAGCCCCUGGCUCAACUGGGGAGGGUCAUUCGAUACUGUUCGACUCGAAGGCAGGAGAGGGAAGUGGAAUUCCCGGUGUAGUGGUGAAAUGCGUAGAUAUCGGGAGGAACACCAGUGGCGAAGGCGACUUCCUGGCCUGUUCUUGACGCUGAGGCGCGAAAGCUAGGGGAGCAAACGGG
rnacentral:rRNA from 1 species